GUAUAGCCAGACGCAGGCAAAAAUCUUCCAAUAUUUAAAGCACUCCGCUCACUCAGGAAAUGUACAGAAAGAAUCGUAUCGACUCAUUAAUUAAUUAGUGGCGGUCGUUACAAAUCUUGGUAAUAGUAAUAAACAAACCAGAGUGUAUAAUCUCGUGAUAUACAAGACUCCCUACGAGAGGAUUAUACAAGUUCAUCCAUUUAUGAAUAAUUUAACCACAAAUCUGACUAUCAUAGCUGGGCCGGACAGUCUGUAAAUGGCCCUUAUUCGUAAGGCUUCGAAAAUACCUGGCAUAGCAGCUGAUCACAUAAACAAAUGGUGCGCGGCAUGGUGUCUUUUAAAGAGAAUUCUGUCGUGGAACGCCAACGUCGAAGUGAAUCAGUGCCGAUCAAAGUUUGAAGAUAACUGCAAAGUGCAAAGUUCCAGCUGAAUUUUAUACUUUCUGACGUCACCGAAAGGCUUCAAAGGAUACAAAUACAAAGGAAUUCACACUUGAAUUGGUGCAUAGUUAUUAAAGGC